UGUCACUUCCCAAGACGGCACCCAUGUAAGUUUUCUAAAUACAUUGUAUUUUCAUGGGUAUUGUAAUCACUGAAUUUUGUCCGGCUCGAUAUUCGUGCUUUUUAAAAAAAAUUCAAAAAAAUACAAAAAAUAAAAAAAAUUGAAUUUUAACCCCUAAAUUUUCCUAAAAUUAUAUUUUAAGCGCUAAACUUUUUUAAAUUACAUUUUGACCCAUCAAAUUUUUUGAAAUUACAUUUUGACCCAUCAAGUUUUUGAAAUUACAUUUUGACCCAUCAAGUUUUUGAAAUUACAUUUUGACCCCUAUAUUUUCUCAAAAUUAUGUUUUGGCCCCAUAAGUUUUGUUACAUUUUCAAUCUGGUCCUUCUGGCAGCCAAACGCGAUUUUCGCACCUAAUCCCCGCGAUUUCCGGCCACCGGCCUAGGGUAUGGCCUCCCUUCUCCCUAGCAACCUGCCACCUGCAAAAAGAAGCAAAUAAAUCACUAUAAAAUGGGUUUAAAACCCCAAAAACGGAAACCCCCACAAAAAAAGAAGAAGAAAGUUUUCGAAAAAAAAGAAAGAAAAGGAGAGAAGGAAAAGAAAGAGGAGAAGAGGAGAGGGUCUGACGGAGGCCAAGCGGCGGAGACGACAGCGGCGGUGUGAAAGAGGCGGCGGUGCAAGCUAGGGUGAAGAGGGAAGAAGAAAAAGAAGAAGAAAGAAAUAAAAAAGAAAAAAGGAAAAAAGAAAAAGAAAAAAGAAAAAAUUAAUAGUUGGGUCGACCCGACCCUACCCGACCCGACCACCCAGCAGCAACCCCCAACAGGCCAACCCAGCUAGGCCCAACAAAAAAAAGAAGAAAAAAGAGAAAAAAAGGGGCCCAAAGUAGCUGCCCAACAGGCCCAACAGCCUAGCAGGCCAACAGCCCAACAGCUUGGCAGGCC
rnacentral:lncRNA from 1 species